rnacentral:lncRNA from 1 species
UUUUUUUUUUUUUUUUUUUUUUUUGUCUUUUUGCUAUUUCUUUGGGCCGCUCCUGCGGCAUAUGGAGGUUCCCAGGCUAGGGGUCUAAUCGGAGCUGUAGCCACAGGCCUACGCCAGAGCCACAGCAACGCAGGAUCCGAGCCGCGUCUGCAACCUACACCACAGCUCACGGCAACGCCGGAUCGUUAACCCACUGAGCAAGGGCAGGGACCGAACCUGCAACCUCAUGGUUCCUAGUCGGAUUCGUUAACCACUGCGCCACGACGGGAACUCCCCAAGAAGAACAUUCUUAUCACCAGAGACACAGUUGACAUGAAGAUGAGGCUGCACAAACAAACCUUACUAAAGUAAACUUUAUCCUCCAUUAGUUUCCCCCGUAUAUUUAUUUCAUAGUUACUUUCCCAUAAUUUACUGUCCCUAGAAACCCAAACCCUUUUCCUUUCUCUAGUCAUUUCACCACAAUUAAUAGCCCUCAGUUACAAUGACAUAUCAGCCUCUGAGUCUAACCACUUCUUUGGAAUUUUCAGUUCUCUAUGCCAUGUAAUAAAAAAAAUUUUUUUUUUUUUGGCUGCACCUACAGCAUGUUGAAGUUCACAGGCCAGGGAUCUCGAAACUGCGCCAUAGCAGCAAUUUAUACUGCUGCAGUGACAAUGCCAGAUCCUCAACCUGCUGCGCCACAAAGGAUCUUCUUAAAAAUAUUAAAAUCAAAUAAACCUAUGUGCUUUUCUCCACUUAAUUGGCCUUUUGUCAGCUUAAUUCUCAGAGCUUGGUCAUUGAACCUAAGAGGGUAGGAGAAAAAUUUUUUCUCCUUUACACCCUCAACCUGAAGCAACCUAUCCUGAAAACCAAUGUAUUAUUUACAAUAAAUAUCUCAGAAAGCCAACAUGCAAGUCAGACUUGUAGAAGUCCGACUGCUAUCUUUGCUGAUAGUCCAGGAACUAAAUAACACCUGUGACAAACCAGCUCCAUAUGGUCAAGACUUGAUUUGUAACUGAUAGCUUCCCUAAUUUUUGUUCCCACUUCCCAGGACCAACCAGAGAAAGCCAUAUAUGCACCCUAACAUGUAGGAUGUCCCACAUCUACUUAGCUUGCCUACAAUUUCCCCAUGCCAAAAGACUAUUUGGGGCAUUAUUUCAAGCCUUCACUUUUUUUUUUUUCAUGGUGAAGUUUUCCCAUUCCUCUGCCUACCUUUGAGUCUUUGCCAAAACAUAAGUGAUUGUGGCCAACUCCCUUGCUAUAGCAAACUGAAUAAACAGACCUUACUUGUUCUCAUUGCUUGGCCUUUGUUUAUUUUCACACAAUGCCCACUCUUGUAACUUUCUAUGGGGGGCCAGUAUUUGAAAUUAUACCCAUUUUAUCCAUCUAUAUUGUCCUAAUAUGAAUGACAGGUUGUUUUAAAAUUCCAGAUAUAAUGAUGCUUUUCAUCCCUGGCUAAGAUUGCAUUUGAAUCUCAGUGAGACAGAAAUUUUAGGACACAAAGAGAAAAAGGCCGCAGGAUUUCAAAUUCACUCACAGAAACAACAUUUAGAUUUUGCCAGUUCUGCUUCUGUCACUUAUCCUUUGCUUGAAGGUGAGAAUCUUCAAUCGUCUGAAGUUUUUUAGUCCUCUAAUACAGUCCUGCACUUCAGUGUUUGAAGGUGGAAGACUUUUGAGUGGCUGACAACAACUUUGCUAUUUAUUUUCUUUACUAUUUUAUUUUUAUAUUUACUACUUACUUUACUAUUUAUUUACUAUUGAGUGUCUUCAGUGAACCUUCCAAGAGAGGUGUGGGAGUGUCUUGACAGUGCUAGGUAAUUGCCUUACAACUUCUCAGGCUUGUUAUUUACUUAUUUAUUCUCAGCCCUUAUUCUCACACUUGUGUGCUAUGCUGAACAUUGUAAGGUGUUUAUAUUCUGUAACCUGCAUAUACCAUAUACAGCUCAGGUAGCUGGGCUCCAAUAACAGAAACCUUAUGUAUACACACCCUUGGUCUCUCCUAACCUUAAUGGCUUUGCUCUCCUAACCUUGGAGUGGUAGUCUUUAUUACUCAAAGAGUAACUAACCUUUCAUUCUUCUCCAGACUUCCCAACAAGCUUAACCAAUUCCUUUAUUUAAAUAUCUCCUGGCUGAGGAGUUCCCAUCAUGGUGCAGCAGAAAUGAAUCUGACUAGGAACCAUGAGGUUGUGGGUUUAAUCCCUGGCCUUCAUCAGUGGGUUAAAGAUCCAGCGUUGCCAUGGGCUGUGGUGUGGGUUGAAGAUGCGGCUUGGAUCUGGCAUUGCUGUGGCUCUGGGGUAGGCCAGCAGCAACAGCACUGAUUAGACCCCUAGCCUGAAAUCUCCAUGUUCUGGGGGUGUAGCCCUAAAAAGACAUAAAUAAAUAAAAUAAGAUUAAAAAAAAAAUCCUGGUUGAAAUAACUAGAUUGGUUUUUGUUUUCCUAAUUGCAUACCAAAUGAUAAAAUUCCUCAGUGGAGACAUCCAGUAAUACAGGUUUGUUCUGUAUUAUGGGAGACAUCUUCCAUAAUAUAGGUUUUUCCCAAUCAGCAGUCUGAGUUAUGGUGAAGGGUUGUGAAGGUAAAGUAAUACAUGUCAUCUUGAAAUUCGGGUUUCCCUCUGUAUGAACUCCAGUUAUGCACUGAUGUAGAAGCACUGGUUUUUGUUUUUGUUUUUGUUUUAAAUGAUUAUUUGGCAAUAUGAACCAUUGCCCUAAGGCCAUGAGUCUUUCCUCAUCCUCAAACACUUAACCAACAUGGCCCUUCCCCUGGAACCUCCCAGACCUUCCUAAUUUCAAGCAACUAAAGGGUUAAUGACCCUGCUUCAGAACUGUGACCAAUAUCCUUUUUGAUUGGUUGAUGUCCAUGCCAGUCACUACUGGCAGAGCUUGUGCACUCAUUGUCUAGUUCACAUCUACAAGGCACCUGCUUUGUUGACAGUUUCAUCCUAAAUUCAGUGUGGAAGACAGGGCCUUUGAUAUGAUGCUGGCACUCCAGCAUCAAAGACCCAGGAUACACCUAGGGACUCCCUGGUGAUGGUCUCCUGAAUUACCCUCAUACAACUGCUUAUGGGAGCUGUAGUCUCUGUAGAAUUUUGGCUCUGAGCAAAAUAAAGGAGAGAAAAUGCAGGUGGGGACGUCAUAGUAGUGACAAAUGCAGACAGGGAUAGAUAGAGCUCUGCAUUUUCUGCUGGCAUUGCAGACACUCUCAAGAAAGAAAGGAAGAGGCAGGAAAACACAAGCCUCUUGGGGGCAACUUGGAGCCAAGAGUGAUCUGAGGUUUAGCAAUCACUUUUUAAUAUUCUUGUUAAAUUUCACAUCCAUUUAAUGGUGAUGAAUUCAUUUAAACUUGAAAUCCAUUGACCAAGGAUAUAAACAUUAAUUUUAUUAAUAAAAAUGUUAACUAAUCAUUAUGUUAGCAUUUUCUCAGUGACAGGUUCUAUUUUAAAACUAUAAUUACUCAUUUAAGAAAUCAUCAAUCAUAUUUUACAAAUGAGAAAACUGAGGUACAGAAAAUUAUUUAAGAUUCAUUUGACCAGCCAGCUUUUGAACCUAGGCAACUGAACCUGGCACAUGAGCACACAUUAAUUGCCACCCUCUGGCCUAUAGGAUUAUCUUUGUCUUAUUUUUAAAUAGUAUUUUCUAUUUGAUUGUUGAUAAUAUGUAUAGUGGUUAUAUAAAAAUGUAAUUGUUUUUAAAAAUGUUUUACUAGUGUUCUCUUGUGGUGCUGUGGGUUAAGGAUCCAAUGUUGUCACUUCAGUGGC